GAUCCUGGCUCAGAUUGAACGCUGGCGGCAGGCCUAACACAUGCAAGUCGAACGGUAACAGGAAGAAGCUUGCUUCUUUGCUGACGAGUGGCGGACGGGUGAGUAAUGUCUGGGAAACUGCCUGAUGGAGGGGGAUAACUACCGGAAACGGUAGCUAAUACCGCAUAACGUCGCAAGACCAAAGAGGGGGACCUUCGGGCCUCUUGCCAUCUGAUGUGCCCAGAUGGGAUUAGCUAGUAGGUGGGG
rnacentral:rRNA from 1 species